rnacentral:rRNA from 1 species
GAACUUGCCUCUUGGUCUGGGACAACUGUUGGAAACGACAGCUAAUACCGGAUAUUAUGAGAUUCUCGCAUGGGAAACUUAUGAAAGCUAUAUGCGCCAAGAGAGAGCCUUGCGUUCCAUUAGCUAGUUGGUGGGGUAACGGCCCACCAAGGCGACGAUGGAUAGCCGGCCUGAGAGGGUGAACGGCCACAAGGGGACUGAGACACGGCCCUUACUCCUACGGGAGGCAGCAGUGGGGAAUAUUGGACAAUGGGCCACAAGCCUGAUCCAGCAAUUCUGUGUGCACGAUGAAGGUCUUCGGAUUGUAAAGUGCUUUCAGUUGGGAAGAAGAAAGUGACGGUACCAACAGAAGAAGCGACGGCUAAAUACGUGCCAGCAGCCGCGGUAAUACGUAUGUCGCAAGCGUUAUCCGGAUUUAUUGGGCGUAAAGCGCGUCUAGGCGGAAAAAUAAGUCUGAUGUUAAAAUGCGGGGCUCAACUCCGUAUUGCGUUGGAAACUGUUUUUCUAGAGUACUGGAGAGGUGGGCGGAACUACAAGUGUAGAGGUGAAAUUCGUAGAUAUUUGUAGGAAUGCCGAUGGAGAAGUCAGCUCACUGGACAGAUACUGACGCUAAAGCGCGAAAGCGUGGGGGAGCAAACAGGAAUUAGAUACCCUGGUAGUCCACGCCGUAAACGAUGAUCACUAGGUGUUGGGGGGUCGAAACUUCAGCGCCCAAGCUAACGCGAUAAGUGAUCCGCCUUG